CUGAAAAUGAGACAACUAAGCCAAGUAGAGGCUCCAGUCAACAGAGAAUGCAUAAACUGGAAGUGGUGCAACAGUAUGGGCCAUGAGUCAUAAUACCCAGACUGUGCUGUAUUCCCAAAAGCUUCAGUAUCUUACACCAAGAUAUCAUCCAUGCAGUUGCAGCAUUCUUCAUAUAAGAGACAACGUUGCCAGUGUGUGACAGCUAAGCCAAGUUGAGACUCCAGUCAAUAGAAGAUGCUUAAACUGGAAGUGGUGCAGUAGUCUGGGUGAGGAUUCAUCAUACCCAGAGUGUGCUGUAUUCCCCUAAGUCUCUCACACCAAGAUAUCAUUCAUGCAGCAUUCCUCAUAUAAGUCUGUGAAUAAGACAACUAAGCCAGGCUGAUGCUACAAUGAACAACAGAUGUCUAAACUGGAACAGGUGCUCUACUGUGGACAAUGACUCAUUAUAGCCAAAUUGAACUGUAAUCGCGAAGGCUAACUCACACUACAUCGACCUAUGCAUGGACAAGUAUUCCACUUACUUCACUUUAAUUUCCUCUUGGAUGCAUCCUUUGCACUUGGACUAUUGGACUAUUACUCUAUGACAACUCCCAACUCUACUACUGUAUUCAAGCUGGCAUGCUAACAAUACAUCUGUCUUUAUGUACACUAUAUAAUAAUGUUUAAUCAUACCUGUUAAUGUUUUUAUGUAUUUCAUUUUGCUACUGUCCAAACAAAACCACAUGUCUC